AGGUCGUAGUGGACUAAUUUUACAGGCGAAGUUAAGUGACUUACCCAAAACCUCACAGCUAAUAAACGGCAGAGCCGGCACCCAGCUGUACUGGCUUCCAGCGCAUCCCAUUAUCUCCAUAAAUCCCCCUGAUUCAACUAAUAUUAGACGCCCCACAGCUGGACCCUGGACACGGUGACUCUGAUUCAAUUAUGCAGAUGACCACAAGCCUCUGGGGUUGGCAGAGCCACAAGAAAGAAGGUGCCUGGAUGAAGGAGAGCUACCCACUGACCUGGACACCCAAUUAUAGGAUAGACAGUGAAGUGCAACUACAGCCCGCAAAUGAAAAUGAAUAAAAUUAAUCCAGCCCCUCAAGGCAGUCAUCUGUCUUAGAGCUAUUGGAAUCCUGGAUCAUUGUGGGAAAUGAAAAGAACUGGUUUUUAGCAAGGAGACCAAGAAACUCUACUCCCUAGGGGCUAGCAAUGAGAGAAAGGAAGCCUUGAGUCUUUGAGCACAGGGUGACAGUUUGGGUCCUAUGUGAGAUGAUCAAAUCCACAGCAACAGAGGAAAGGACAAAAGGAAAAGGUCUGUAGCAGCACUACAUCAGAAAAAAUGGAUUCCGCAAGGAAGUGGGUGACUCUGAAUACUUCGAUGGAAUCAGCAGCCAUUGAUCCAAUGCCAACUCCAAGACUGGAACGUCGCAAUGAUAGUUCCAAGGCGGAAAUUUGACGUAAUUCUUUUCGACACAGUUUUACAGGUCUGGAUGCCCAUUUUAAUUCUUCUGAAAGCAUGCCUCCUUCUGGCUUCAGGACUCCAUCUCCAGCCUUAUGAUCUAAAAAUAAUCCCCAAACCAAAAAAUUAGAUAUUAUUUCCUCAAAAUUAGGUGUUUUAAUCAAAACAUCUUAACAUAAAUACAUUAUUAUCACCCAA
rnacentral:lncRNA from 1 species